GAGGACAGUGCAGCCAAUGUGCAGAGAGAUAUUCACUCACGACUGACUCACAUAUCUCUCCUGAUCUAAGGGUGUAAAAGGGACUGCAGUGGGGUCGCCCAGCCACACAGGCUGCAACAGCAAUACAGAGUACAUCUACUGAGGCGUCAUCAAGCCACACAUUCAGCAGGGAUACCCCUCAUCUACUUCACGAUCUCCAACAGGGAUACCACAUCUCUUCGGUAGACAUACCCAAGCAUCGCUUUCCAGCAGCAGAAAGACAAUGAGGGCACUGACGCUGGCACUAAUGGUGGCACUGACGGUGGCACUAAUGGUUAACUGCAGCCCCAUCAGCAACAAUAACAACUAUCCGUCCAUCUGUUUGCUUGCCUCCCCACCGAGGACGGUGUCGAGCAUAUUUGAUUUUCUUUCACUAUAACCCAAAAUUAAACACCUGUGAACGGUUCGUCUAUGGAGGCUGUGGAGGCAACGGGAAUAAUUUCCGAACCUUUGAGAAGUGCAUGUCUACCUGUGGAGUCGCCGAACAAGACAACGACCUGACUUCUUACUGACACCGAGGAACACUGAUGACGGGUAAAUUAGCACAGGUACACCUAUCAGUGCUGAGUCCAGCUUGAGGAAGCAGCACCAAUACACCAGGUGUGUGAGACGCCUGUUGCAGCAGCAGCAGCAGCAGCAGCAGCAGCAGCAGCAGCAGCAGCAGCAGCAGCAGCAGCAGCAGCAGCAGCAGCAGCAGCAGCAGCAGCAGCAGCAGCCUCAGCAGCAGCAGCAGCAGGAGCAGUAGCGCCUUAACCACAUCACAGCUGUACCUUGGCUGCUGCAGAAAGAGCAUAGAGUCUUUUAAAAUAUUGCCUUCAGUAACGAAUAAAACACACGUUAGCAGGACAAGACAACAACAUUUUGCACUCUACAGAGCUUAGUCAAGUUGUAUGCAGGUGUAUUUUAUACAAUCUGUUUGACGUUGUUGCAAUAAAAGUUUGUGCAACACGUGGUAUACCACGAGGCUGGUCAAGGACGGGGGCGUUGACUCCCCGGAACACCUCCAGGCAGACCACCUAAUGUUAAAAAACACUACAUGGAAAAAAAUACACUGAGUAUACAUGGUGUUCCGGGGGUCAACGCCCCCCGCUGCCCGGUCCAUGACCAGAACAGGAAAUAGAUUCUGGGUCUGUGUAAUUUUUCAGUAUGAUAUUGUUUCAUGUGUGCAGUCAGGUGUUUUAAAGAGAGUAUCUUCUUACUGCCUGUGUUAAAGGUUGAAUCCCUCUUGAAAUACCUGCUGUGCCAAGCUAUAAUGGCUUUACCAGUAAUGCUGCAAAUUACAGCUGUUGUAUCCAUCAUGUUACAGCUACUGUACCCAUCCUAUUGCAGCUGCUGCAUCCAUCCUGUUGCAGCUGCUGCACCCAUCCAUUUACAGCUGCUGCACCCAUCCUGUUGCAGCUGCUGCACCCAUCCUGUUACAGCUGCUGCACCCAUCCUGUUGCAGCUGCUGCACCCAUCCAUUUACAGCUGCUGCACCCAUCCUGUUGCAGCUGCUGCACCCAUCCUGUUACAGCUGCUGCACCCAUCCUGUUACAGCUGCUGCAUCAAGCCUGUCACUUAGCUUAGUCUAAUUAUUUAUUUAGUUGAGCAAUGAAGACAAUGUAUCAUAACAUAUACUGUAUAAAUAAUUAAAAAUUUUUACUGAA